rnacentral:rRNA from 1 species
UACAGAGGUCUCAAGCGUUGUUCGGAAUCACUGGGCGUAAAGGGUGCGUAGGCUGCGCGGAAAGUCAGAUGUGAAAUCCGGAGGCUCAACCUCCGAAUUGCAUCCGAUACUACCGUGCUCGAGAGCUGUAGAGGGAUCUGGAAUUCUCGGUGUAGCAGUGAAAUGCGUAGAUAUCAGGAGGAACACCGGUGGCGAAGGCGGCUACCUGGACAGAAACUGACGCUGAGGCGCGAAAGCUAGGGGAGCAAACAGG